rnacentral:misc_RNA from 1 species
GUACGCCGGGCUGGAGGCGAGCCACGCGCCCAUCGCCGAGCA